UACUGUACAGCUUCUUGGAUUUGCUAAAAUAGAUCAGACUCGAGUUUAGAAGUUAUUAACUCUGUUUCAGAAACCUUGCAACAGUAUGUUUGUUUCAAGUAAUUGCGCAAGUAUGUGUAUAGUAAGGUGCUUGUACGGUUUUUCCUAAGGGCUGAAUUAUAUUAUAAAGAGUGGAGAGUUUCGUGUCCUCCGCGUUAAAUGAACCUGUCCAAGGCAGGAGUCGUAAGAAAUGAAGAAGUCACGGGAACAGAGGAAGAAAUCAGUCAGUGCCUGCUCCAAGCACGAUGACUUUGACUCUAUCGACUCGUCUUCCGCUUAUCUAAAUCACUUAUCGAUAUCUUGCCCUGAUCCUGCUUUUCUUCAAUAUCCGAUCGCCGUCGAUCUUAAUAAUUGCACUUCUUCGUUUCGAUUUCAACGAUCCGUUAUGUAUCAAAAAGCAUACACAAAGAAGCUGCAUUCCAACCUCUACCAAAGUAACUAGACAAAAUAAGCCAUCUACUGGUUCCACUCAUCAAACUCUCCUCUUCGUCACGUGGAACAGUCGUUGGAAAACUGCAGAACAAUAAACCACCCCUUUGAUAUUCCUCUUGUUAUCAUUUUCGCCAGCCAAUAUUGUGUCGAAAAUAAUGCUCCAGUAGGAUUGAACGAUGAUUCGACAGUGCGGCCAUCGUUCGACGACGGUGACGAAGUCAGCAAGAGUGGAAAAGACUGGCAGGCGGAACGAAGACAGAGGCAGCGGGUACUCCCCGCGGAAAUCAACGGGGCUGCGAGCGUUUCGUUGAAAUUUCCGGCGUAUUGUCGGCGUUCGGCGGCCGUGAAUGAUCCGGAGCCACCAUCAACCCCUUUGUGAAGGAAGGGAGACGGCGAGGCGGGAACGAGGGCGAACCUGAUGGGAUAUGGGGAUGGCGACGCGUCCCUGGCGACGCCGCGACGCUGACAGCGUUCGGUCCCGGCGCCCUCUUCUCCCCGAUUCUAUUUCCGCGUUUUCUUUGACACACCCCGGAUUAAAUGCUUCAGCUGUUUCUACAAACUUGCGAUCCGCAAUAUUCGCGUGAUCGAAUGGCGUUGGUCGAGUGCGAUGGUUGUUACCGAGGGACAAAAUGGUUGAUGGAACGAACGAAAUUGACGUUGCUUGAAAGAAUGAGAUUGCGAAUGGUUGAAUAUUAAUACAUUGCACGGGAUUAAAGGAUGCAAGAAUGCACAGAACGUGGAUAGUAUUUAAUGUAUCAAAAGAAUUUACAAUAUGAAAUGUAAAAUUUAAUGAAUGAAGCAAAUCUCCACUUUGAAUCUAUUUUACAAUAAUAUGAAUCUGUAUAAACAUCGGCUGUGUAAAAGUAACAAAUUUGGAGUAUGAGGAGGAAUCGUAUUUUUUGGAAUUAUAAUUAUUAGAAAAUGUGUUUUACGUUCUGGAUAGAUUUGGUCGUUUCGUGAGAGUAAUUACUAUAGCUUUUAUCUAUGAAUGAAACAAUUCUUCUUUCACAAGUGAUAAAUAUUAAUGUCUGAAGUAAGAAUUAUCUUUCUUAAUCGAAAACAAUUAUUUUCUUAAUCACAAUUAUAAAAGUGAGAUAACACGUUGCACGUUUCAAAUUCAUAGAUAAUACGUUUCAUGAAAUAAUCUUACAAUAUGAAACGGACUUGCAGCCAUAAUUACUUUCCUUAAUCGGUUCAUAUUGUAUAAUAGAAUUACAGUUAUAUACUUAAUACAUCUUAUGUCAUAAGAUUGCACUACGAAAUGUGUGUAGUCAGGAAUCACUGUCUAUAACAUGGUUGUCUUAUUAGCAAUAUUACGUUAAAAGUAAUGCACGUACGAGCUGUUAGAAGAUGAUAAUUAACUGAUGCUACAGAUUAUCACAAUCCUGUUACGAUUGAUGGAGUAGAAGGUGCUAAUGAUUAUUUAAAGAUGAUGGUAAUUAGGUAAAUUAAAGCGCUACCCAGAGUUCUGAAUAACAGUAUGUUACGCAAAUAUAACGUGCAGCAUGCGCCUGUACGUGAUACUGUAAUUUAAGUAGUAUCUAACUUAAUCGUUGCUACAUAAUUUGUUUCAUAUUUGUCUUCUUAACAUGCCUGCUGAUUUCUGAGUAGAUUGCCGUUCUGUGGAUAGUCAUUUCCUGCAAACUUCGUAUAAAUAGAAAGCACGAGGUUGCACGAUCAUGGUAAGACCACGAAUUCUGCUAAUCAUCGCGCGAAGAAAAGCAAACAACCUUUUUCCAAAAGCAACUUCAUGGUUUCCCAAAUAUUAUUUGAAUAUAUUAUUCUAGGACCAGUCUAUUUGUUAAUAAAGCUACUUUUUCAAUUGUUUGCGUCGCUUUUAUAGCAAUGAACACGUCUGUGUUUACCACAUUAAAUAAAAAAGAAUUAAAGAAAUUUCUCCUGGAAACAACUUCAUGGUCUUCUAAAUAUUAUUUGAAUAUAUUAUUCUAGGACCAGUUUAUUUGUUAAUAAAGCUACUUUUUCAAUCGUUUAUGUCGCUUUUAUAGCAAUGAAC